UGGGGAAUAUUGCACAAUGGGCGAAAGCCUGAUGCAGCGACGCCGCGUGAGUGAGGAAGUAUUUCGGUAUGUAAAGCUCUAUCAGCAGGGAAGAAAGAAAUGACGGUACCUGAGUAAGAAGCUCCGGCUAAAUACGUGCCAGCAGCCGCGGUAAUACGUAUGGAGCAAGCGUUAUCCGGAUUUACUGGGUGUAAAGGGAGCGUAGGCGGCAGAGCAAGUCUGAUGUGAAAGCCCGGGGCUCAACCCCGGUAGUGCAUUGGAAACUGUUCAGCUCGAGUGUCGGAGGGGUAAGCGGAAUUCCUGGUGUAGCGGUGAAAUGCGUAGAUAUCAGGAAGAACACCGGAGGCGAAGGCGGCUUACUGGACGAUUACUGACGCUGAGGCUCGAAAGCGUGGGGAGCGAACAGG
rnacentral:rRNA from 1 species